UACGGAGGAUGCAAGCGUUAUCCGGAAUCAUUGGGCGUAAAGGGUCCUUAGGUGGUUUGCUAAGUCUACUGUGAAAGAUCAGGGCUCAACCCUGAAAAUGCGGUGGAAACUGGCAGGCUAGAAUACGGUAGGGGCAGGGGGAACUCCCGGUGUAGCGGUGAAAUGCGCAGAUAUCAGGAGGAACACCGAUGGCGAAGGCAGGUCUCUGGGCAUUAACUGACGCUGAGGAGCGAAAGCAUGGGGAGCGAACAGG
rnacentral:rRNA from 1 species